GUGGGUGUGUGUGUGUGUGUGUGGGUGGGUGUGAUACACGGAAACAGUGUUGACUCAGGUGCCUGCUCGCUGUAGAAAACAGCUUCUACACAGCCAGCUAAUCCUCUCUACUCUGCAACCAGUCAGAACUUACUGAGGAAAUGUACUGGAGACUUGUACAACAACGUCUUCAUGCUGCUAAACGUCUGCCAACUGAGAAGUCCAAAGAACUUCUUGUGAAGUCCAAUUUAUAACUUGCAAUUCAAAGAAGUAACUGUAGACAUGGCAAGUAACCCAGGACUACAGAGAAGUAGUUCCAUGGACAGUUUAAUUUUAUUCCAACAACAUAGUAAAUGUUCCCAAUCAUUCAUCAGUCUACUGGAUCAAAAUGAACUAAGAAUGAGAAUUAUUCUACAAGAACUGAAAAGGAUUUCUGACAGAGUCAAAGAGCUACACAGUGAAACUAAAAGAAGACGCCUGAUUGGAGGAGCAGUUGGAGCACUUGGUGUAGGACUGGGAGUGGCUGCAGUUGGAGGAUUAUUAUUUGGAAAAGCUGAAAACACUCUGAAAAUAAUUUUAGGAGUUCCAGCUAUUCUGGCAUCAAAUGUUAUAACCUAUGUUGGAUUCAAAGAUAUUUAUGAUUCAAACUCAGAGAUGAUGGCAAAAGAGAGAGAAAUGAUGGAAACUGCAGAUAGGUUAACUAAAGAGUUCAAGAACAUCAUUGAACCACAAAAAGCCACAUUGGAAGACUUGAAGAAUGUGUUGGAGGAGAUAAAUGAGAGAUCGGCUGAAUUGAGGACAACAGCUGGACCCCAAGCAGAUGCAACUCUCUCAGAAUUUGACAAAUUUUUGGACCUUGUGCAGCAAAUGGAUGAAUCGGUUGUACGUGACAGAGCUACACUCCUCUAUACACAGUUAGUCAGUCAGUGUGAGAGAACUUAUGAGGAACCCACCAGAAUGAGGGAUGUCCUAAGAGAUUUUAAACAAUGACUGGACAUUGACAUCAACGUUGGAUCAAGAAACACUUGAAGACAGGUUAUUACUAUAGAGUAGUCUCAGAAGCAUUUUUUAUACCCAAAGAAUCUGGAGACAUAUAGUUCUGUGUAGUAUGAAAUAAAUUCUCCUUUUAUGUUAUAAACAAAGUCAAAUGAUCCUUUAGAUGAGACAUUUCCUCAGAAUGGACACACUGAUAGACUGAAAACUAUUACAUUUUGUGAUGUAUCAUUAAUCUUCAAGUUAAUGAUAAGGUCAGGCUUCCUCGGCUGCUCAGUGACCUUGUUGUUCCUCUCAGAUCUGAAAGCUUAGUAACUCUUGCUGCCUUCUCAUAAAACGUCUUUUGUUCAAACUGAUUUUUUAAAGGAUUUUUUUGGCUGUAGUGGUGUUUGCUUGACAAUGAUGUGACAGGAUGAGGCAUGGAGCAAAGGUCAACGAGGACUUCGAGAACCGUUGUCAUGCAACUUUUACAUUUAUCCCUGGUCCAACACACUUCAAUCAUACAGCUGAAUCACCUUCUAAAUGGAGUUAUGUUCUCCAGAGUCCUGCUAAUUACCUCAUUAUUGAAGCAGAGACAAAAUUUAAAAGUUUCAGGAUGCUGACCUGCAAGAUUGGAUUUUAAGACCCCCGGUUUACAGACAGAGCUGUGGCCAUGUUUUGCAGCCGCUUUGUUAAAUUAUUAAAAUACAUCAAGAAUUCUCUGUUUCUGUUUGGUAGAAACAGAUGAUUCUGGAUGUUUUUGU